rnacentral:rRNA from 1 species
CCUACGGGGGGCAGCAGUGAGGAAUAUUGGUCAAUGGACGAGAGUCUGAACCAGCCAAGUCGCGUGAAGGAUGACUGCCCUAUGGGUUGUAAACUUCUUUUAUAAAGGAAUAAAACGAGGCACGUGUGCCUUUUUGCAUGUACUUUAUGAAUACGGAUCGGCUAACUCCGUGCCAGCAGCCGCGGUAAUACGGAGGAUCCGAGCGUUAUCCGGAUUUAUUGGGUGUAAAGGGAGCGUAGAUGGGUUGUUAAGUCAGUUGUGAAAGUUUGCGGCUCAACCGUAAAAUUGCAAUUGAUACUGGGAGUCUUGAGUACAGUUGAGGUAGGCGGAAUUCGUGGUGUAGCGGUGAAAUGCUUAGAUAUCACGAAGAACCCCGAUUGCGAAGGCAGCUUACUAAACUGUGACUGACAUUGAUGCUCGAAAGUGUGGGUAUCAAACAGGAUUAGAUACCCUAGUAGUC